UACGUAGGGGGCAAGCGUUGUCCGGAUUUAUUGGGCGUAAAGAGCUCGUAGGCGGUCUGUUGCGUCCGCUGUGAAAACUCGGGGCUUAACCCCGAGCCUGCAGUGGAUACGGGCAGACUAGAGGUAGGUAGGGGAGAAUGGAAUUCCCGGUGUAGCGGUGAAAUGCGCAGAUAUCGGGAGGAACACCGGUGGCGAAGGCGGCAUCCUGGACCGGCAUUGACGCUGAGGCGCGAAAGCCAGGGGAGCAAACGGG
rnacentral:rRNA from 1 species